UAGGAUAUAAGUUAAUAAAACUUUUUCCGUUCAAAGGAAAGAUUAGAAUAGAAUUCUUAUUCUAA
rnacentral:tRNA from 1 species